CUCUUCUUAUCGCAAACUCAAUGAACAUUUUGGAACCAUCUCCAGUGGAUUGUGAUGGAAAUCAACGCGAAGAUGUUAUGCAGGCAAGUGAGCCCGUUGACUUGUUCGUCCUACCUGGCCUUGCAUUUGACAGAUUGGGAAGACGUUUGGGACGUAGUGGUGGUUACUAUGAUAUGUUCCUGAAGAAAUACAAAGAGCUUGCUAGCAAGAGGAACUGGAAGCAGCCCCUUCUUGGUA